rnacentral:lncRNA from 1 species
CUUCAAAAAUAUUAAAGCAAAGUAUCUUAGAAAAAUAGAUAUUAGUCAAAGGGUAGAAAAAUUAAAGGUGCUAAUGCUGCCUAUUUACAAAUUAUGCUUCUAUUUACUUUAUAAGGCCAUAAAUAAGGCAAAACAAGGUAGAUUAGAAAAAUAAAGAAUAUAGGCAUAUGUAGGGAGGAGUUAGGAGUACAAAUUAGUAAAAAUUACCUCAAGAAGACGAAAGUUGAUACCCGAAGAGGACCAGUUAUGAACUUGGGUCGAAAUCAGACCCCGAGACACAAAACUG